UACGUAGGCGGCAAGCGUUGUCCGGAUUUACUGGGCGUAAAGAGCGCGCAGGCGGUCGUUCAAGUCGCGUGUGAAAGCCCCCGGCUCAACUGGGGAGGGUCACGCGAUACUGAUCGACUCGAAGGCAGGAGAGGGUAGUGGAAUUCCCGGUGUAGUGGUGAAAUGCGUAGAUAUCGGGAGGAACACCAGUGGCGAAGGCGGGUUGCUGGGCCGACACUGACGCUGAGGCGCGAAAGCCAGGGGAGCGAACGGG
rnacentral:rRNA from 1 species